rnacentral:tRNA from 1 species
UCCCUGGAGGGGACUAAUGGUUAGGCCACUGCGCUCUCACCCCGGCAGCCUGAGUUCAAUUCCCGGCCAGGGAA